CUACGGGUCGCAGCAGUGGGGAAUAUUGGACAAUGGGCGCAAGCCUGAUCCAGCCAUGCCGCGUGAGUGAUGAAGGCCUUAGGGUUGUAAAGCUCUUUUGUCCGGGACGAUAAUGACGGUACCGGAAGAAUAAGCCCCGGCUAACUUCGUGCCAGCAGCCGCGGUAAUACGAAGGGGGCUAGCGUUGCUCGGAAUCACUGGGCGUAAAGGGCGCGUAGGCGGCCGAUUAAGUCGGGGGUGAAAGCCUGUGGCUCAACCACAGAAUUGCCUUCGAUACUGGUUGGCUUGAGACCGGAAGAGGACAGCGGAACUGCGAGUGUAGAGGUGAAAUUCGUAGAUAUUCGCAAGAACACCAGUGGCGAAGGCGGCUGUCUGGUCCGGUUCUGACGCUGAGGCGCGAAAGCGUGGGGAGCAAACAGGAUUAGAUACCCGUGUAGUC
rnacentral:rRNA from 1 species